CCUACGGGUGGCAGCAGUGAGGAAUAUUGGUCAAUGGGCGCGAGCCUGAACCAGCCAAGUAGCGUGAAGGAUGACUGCCCUACGGGUUUUAAACUUCUUUUAUAAAGGAAUAAAGUGAGGCACGUGUGCCUUUUUGUAUGUACUUUAUGAAUAAGGAUCGGCUAACCCCGUGCCAGCAGCCGCGGUAAUACGGUGGAUCCGAGCGUGAUCCGGAUUUAUUGGGUUUAAAGGGAGCGUAGAUGGGUGGUUAAGUCAGUUGUGAAAGUUUGCGGCUCAACCGUAAAAUUGCAAUUGAUACUGGCAGGCUUGAGUACAGUUGAGGUAGGCGGAAUUCGUGGUGUAGCGGUGAAAUGCUUAGAGAUCACGAAGAACUCCGAUGGCGAAGGCAGCUUACUAAACUGCGACUGACAUUGAGGCGCGAAAGUGUGGGGAUCAAACAGGAUUAGAUACCCGAGUAGUC
rnacentral:rRNA from 1 species